rnacentral:rRNA from 1 species
UACGGAGGGUGCGAGCGUUGUCCGGAAUCACUGGGCGUAAAGGGCGCGUAGGCGGCGCGAGCAGUCGGCGGUGAAAGCCCGGAGCUCAACUCCGGGUCGGCCGUCGAUACUCUCGUGCUUGAGCACUGUAGAGGCAGGUGGAAUUCCGGGGUGUAGCGGUGGAAUGCGUAGAGAUCCGGAAGACACCGGUGGCGAAGGCGGCCUGC